rnacentral:rRNA from 1 species
UUAAAAAGCUCGUAGUUGGAUUUCUGGGAAGGCGCCAAUGCUAGCUUCUUGCUUUCGCAACGGCACCUUUCCAUCCUUCUGUUAGCGCCUCUUGGCAUUCAUUUGCUGGUGGCGGGCUCAGAUAUUUUACCUUGAGAAAAUUAGAGUGUUUCAGGCAGGCUACGCCGGAAUACAUUAGCAUGGAAUAAUGGAAUAGGACUGAGGUCUCUUUGUUGGUUUGAGGGACUCCAGUAAUGAUUAAUAGGGACAGUUGGGGGCAUUAGUAUUUAUUAGUCAGAGGUGGAAUUCUUAUGAUUUGAUAAAGACUAACUUAUGCGAAAGCAUUUGCCAAGGAUGUUUUCAUUAAUCAAGAACGAAAGUUAGGGGAUCAAAGACGAUCAGAUACCGUCCUAGUCUUAACCAUAAACUAUGCCGACUCGGGAUUGGGAGUGAA